ensembl:lncRNA
GGCGAAGGCACAGGAGCGCGGGUUCCGUCCCCUCCCUCCCCCACAAGUCGGUUCCUGAAAAGGGAGGAGGAGCAGGAGAUGUCAGUCAUCAGUGGAACUUCAAAGGACGCAGUACCCAUGCCUCUGCUUUCUGCCUCCCAAGGGUGUCCCCACACUGUGGGAAACUGGGUAGAGAUGUCUCUGUGGGUGUCAGGACUAAGACCCGCGGCAGCCACGGCCUAGCCUCGGUGCCGCAGCGCCACGUGGGCCGCGCGCCCUGGCCUGAGAGGGAACCUGUGACAGGUGCGUGGGCCCUCGCGUCGCCGAGUGUGCGCGCAUGAGGCUGGGAGCGCCUGGAGUGACCGCGUUUGCCUGCGCUUGACUGAGAUGGCCUUUUCUGCUUUCAUGACUGAACGCUAUGAGGAGGAAUAAGUUGUGUCUUAGAAAAACACCGUCAACCUUUUAGCAUUUCCAAAGACACAACUUAAAAAUAUUCCGCCAACUGCAGAUGGUUUGCCCGUGAAUGAACAAGGAAGGUGGUGCAUGUAAGGGACAGUUGUCACUCAUGCUUUUGUCCCUCUGGAGAAGACCACUGUCACCUGGAGUACAGAACAUCGUUGUAGACAUUGGAGAUGAUGCUGUCUGUUCAGCUGCUGAGAAAGCUUGUAGACAAAAGACUGGGACUUCCUAUGAUAGAAUGGGUAAAAUUAUCCAGAACUGCCAAAAUUACACAUCAACUUUCUUGAGCACCCACUGUGAGACAUAGUAUGCACACUGGUUAAGAGCUGGACUGUGGAAACAGAUGGCCUGGGUGAGUAACGUGGAGCAAACCACUCAACACUUGAUGCCUUGGUUUAUUAUUCUGUAUAAUGGAGGUGAUUAUUGCAUGAACCUCAUGAGGCUGUUGUGAGGAUUACAUGAGUUGGUAAAUGGAAAAGUGCUUAAGACCUGCCAAGCCCAUGGCAGGCUCCAUAUAAAGGUUAACUGUGAUUGUUCUUCUUCUUCUUAUCAUUGUUACUAUUGUUACUUUGUUCCCUUAUCCUGGUCAAGGUUCUGCUAUGGCUACAUACUUUCAGGAAGUCUACUCCUAAAUAUACCACCAGGAUGGACUUGAUUUUGCGGCCUCUGUAGCUACUAACACGUGAAGGAUGUGCUGCUAGAAUUUGUAGUUACUGGAGAUGAUGUAUAUUUCCUGAAUUCUCAAUGGAUCUUGUAUUUUUCAGUUGUACUACAGUUGUACUAUACUAAGGAGACUGCUCACAUUAAAAUCCUUAGGAAAUAACAAAAAAGCAUUUUCAAAAGUGUUACUCAACACAUCCAACAUUUUGACAUUAUUCUAUAGAUAAUAUGAAAAGAGACGUGUUUGAAGACCUAUAAUUUACUCAUCAAAGAAAGGACUGAAAAUAAGGCUAAAAAAUAAUGAAAGGUAUAUUUUCUAUGUAAAGUUCACAUAAAAAAUCCUUAGCACCUGUGUUCUUCCUAUUUGGUGUUUGAAAGAGCCCAAAGCAGUAACAUUUAUAGAUUAACAAUCCCACAGCAUUCACCGGUCACAGGGAGAGUCGUUCAGUUCAAAUUCACGUCAGCAGGUUUAUAUGGUAG